rnacentral:rRNA from 1 species
CUACGGGACGCUGCAGUGGGGAAUAUUGCACAAUGGGCGCAAGCCUGAUGCAGCCAUGCCGCGUGUAUGAAGAAGGCCUUCGGGUUGUAAAGUACUUUCAGCGGGGAGGAAGGGAGUAAAGUUAAUACCUUUGCUCAUUGACGUUACCCGCAGAAGAAGCACCGGCUAACUCCGUGCCAGCAGCCGCGGUAAUACGGAGGGUGCAAGCGUUAAUCGGAAUUACUGGGCGUAAAGCGCACGCAGGCGGGUUGUUAAGUCAGAUGUGAAAUCCCCGGGCUCAACCUGGGAACUGCAUCUGAUACUGGCAAGCUUGAGUCUCGUAGAGGGGGGUAGAAUUCCAGGUGUAGCGGUGAAAUGCGUAGAGAUCUGGAGGAAUACCGGUGGCGAAGGCGGCCCCCUGGACGAAGACUGACGCUCAGGUGCGAAAGCGUGGGGAGCAAACAGGAUUAGAUACCCCAGUACUC